rnacentral:rRNA from 1 species
GUGGGGAAUAUUGGACAAUGGGGGGAACCCUGAUCCAGCCAUGCCGCGUGUGUGAAGAAGGCCUUUUGGUUGUAAAGCACUUUAAGCGAGGAGGAGGCUACCGAGAUUAAUACUCUUGGAUAGUGGACGUUACUCGCAGAAUAAGCACCGGCUAACUCUGUGCCAGCAGCCGCGGUAAUACAGAGGGUGCAAGCGUUAAUCGGAUUUACUGGGCGUAAAGCGCGCGUAGGUGGCAAAUUAAGUCAAAUGUGAAAUCCCCGAGCUUAACUUGGGAAUUGCAUUCGAUACUGGUUGGCUAGAGUAUGGGAGAGGAUGGUAGAAUUCCAGGUGUAGCGGUGAAAUGCGUAGAGAUCUGGAGGAAUACCGAUGGCGAAGGCAGCCAUCUGGCCUAAUACUGACGCUGAGGUACGAAAGCAUGGGGAGCAAACAGGAUUAGAUACCCGGGUAGUCC